UUUUUCCAUUUCUAUCUUAGUUCAAACUUUACACCAUAAAAAACGUAAAUUGAAUUCUUUCUUUUUCACUCCCACAACAAAAAUUCAAUCUCCUCAAUCACAUUGAUAUUUUCAGUUUAAAUAAACUUUCAACUUUUUCUUCAAUUUAGCUGCAUAAGCAUACUCAUGUGGGAGGCGCAGCUUGGGUGGCUAAAGUAUUAAUAAAGCAGAGUACGUAUAAUCAAGGUCUUUGUUUCUUCGCAUUAUCGGCUCUUACUACAUAAGCUAAAGUUUGCCUUCUAGCUUUACUAUGGGUAAAAGGAACAGAUGUCUCUCGCCUCCUAAUUUACACAGAUUCGCACAAUCUGAUUUAACAAUUAAAUUCGAUCAAAGCUUCAAUCGUUAUUGUUCUAGAAGGCAUCAAUUUCGCUUCAAUCGAUUUCAUCAUCAAGUUUAUUCAAUUUCGCAGCAAUUGAUUCAUCAUCAACUUUCUUCAAUUUCUGCAAUUUCAGUGUUCCUCCUUUGAACUGACCGGCGCAACCACCACCGGCUGAGUGCCACCAUCCGGCAGCAGCAGCCGGCGACAGCAACACCACCUCCCUCCUUGCCGUGUCUCUCUUUUCUUCUUUGCUUUGGUCUGAAGAUGAUGCAUCAUGAGUUCGAGAUUGGAGAGCUUGUGUUAACUAUUUAUUAUAUUUGACUUUAUAUUUUUUAUAGUUGACUUUGAUAUUGUCGUUGACUUUGACUUUCAUUGUUUGAAUUUUAGAGUUGACUUUUUGGUUGACUAAGUUUUAUUUCUAAACCUUAUUAUGUUUUCCGCUGCAAAAUUCUGAAUAAGUUGAAACGUUAUCACA